rnacentral:rRNA from 1 species
AACGAACGCUGGCGGCAUGCCUAACACAUGCAAGUCGAACGAGACCUUCGGGUCUAGUGGCGCACGGGUGCGUAACGCGUGGGAAUCUGCCCUUGGGUUCGGAAUAACUCAGAGAAAUUUGAGCUAAUACCGGAUGAUGACGAAAGUCCAAAGAUUUAUCGCCCAGGGAUGAGCCCGCGUAAGAUUAGCUUGUUGGUGGGGUAAUGGCCUACCAAGGCGACGAUCUUUAGCUGGUCUGAGAGGAUGAUCAGCCACACUGGGACUGAGACACGGCCCAGACUCCUACGGGAGGCAGCAGUGGGGAAUAUUGGACAAUGGGCGCAAGCCUGAUCCAGCAAUGCCGCGUGAGUGAUGAAGGCCUUAGGGUUGUAAAGCUCUUUUACCAGGGAUGAUAAUGACAGUACCUGGAGAAUAAGCUCCGGCUAACUCCGUGCCAGCAGCCGCGGUAAUG